AGGAUAAACGCUGGCGGCGUGCCUAACACAUGCAAGUCGAACGCGCUUUCGGGCUUCGGUGCGAGAGCGAGUGGCGGACGGGUGAGUAACACAUGGGUACCUGCCUUUCAGUGAGGGAUACCGGCGAGAAAUCGCCGACAAUACCGCAUGGGCUUGUGGGAACACAAGCAAAGUGGCGCAAGCCACGCUGGAAGAUGGGCCUGUGGCCGAUUAGCUAGUUGGGGGGGUAACGGCCUCCCAAGGCGACGAUCGGUAGCUGGUCUGAGAGGACGAUCAGCCACACUGGGAUUGAGAACGGCCCAGACUCCUACGGGGGCAGCAGUGAGGAAUCUUCCGCAAUGGGGGCAACCCUGACGGAGCAACGCCGCGUGCAGGAGGACGCUUUUCGGAGUGUAAACUGCUUUUCUCGAGGAAGAACCGGACGGUACUCGAGGAAGAAGCCCCGGCUAACUACGCGCCAGCAGCCGC
rnacentral:rRNA from 1 species